rnacentral:lncRNA from 1 species
GGGUUGCACAUGUGAAGAGAAAUCCAUUAGGAAAACUUUUAGGAAUCAGCUUUGGCACCGGCAUGCUGUGCCCAGGGGGAGGAAUGGUCUAGGGGAUGCCAGGACACGUAAGGCUGCUCAUCAGGUUAGGAGUCUCUAUGCCCACUGAUGCAUUACUCACCACCUCUGUGCUGGGCUCCUCCUUGUCUGUUAAAGCAGUGAAGCCGAGUGCAAGAUGCUAUAGACUAUCUCACAUUCACACCCCUGUGCAAAACACACGUGCAUGCACCCAUCAGAAACAUCAUUUUCAAGAUUUUUAAAAUGU